GUGCUCGCUUUGGCAGCACAUAUACUAAAAUUGGAAUAAGACAGAGAAGAUUAGCAUGGCCCCUGUGCAAGGAUGACACAAACAUUCAUGAAGCAUUCCAUAUUUUU
rnacentral:snRNA from 1 species